AUCCAUUUUCUGCCACCGAAUACAUUAGCAUGGGAUAAUGGAAUAGGACCCUGUCCUCCUAUUUUCAGUUGGUUUUGGCAGCGCGAGGACUAGGGUAAUGAUUAAUAGGGAUAGUUGGGGGCAUUAAUAUUUAAUUGUCAGAGGUGAAAUUCUUGGAUUUAUGAAAGAUUAACUUCUGCGAAAGCAUCUGCCAAGGAUGUUUUCAUUAAUCAAGAACGAAAGUUAGGGGAUCGAAGACGAUCAGAUACCGUCGUAGUCUUAACCAUAAACGAUGCCGACCAGCGAUUAGGAGACGUUGAAUACAAAACACCACCAUCGGUGCGGUCGUCCUUGGCGGUUGGUCUUCAAAAGCCAGCGGCGGGGGCGGCUUAGCCCGGUGGCACCGGUGAAUGACUCCCCUAGCAGCUUGUGAGA
rnacentral:rRNA from 1 species